GGCAUAUGUGGUAUUGGGGUCAGGGUAAGGGAGCUUUGACACAGUCCUUGUUUUUGUAGGAGUUAGUCAUCAACAAUAAAAAUUGGAUUGCUCUCUUGUACUGGUAUAUUACUGGACUUUCCAGAAAACAUUGCACACUUUAGGAUAGGUCAUAGUAGUCUUUGCACAACUAAAUGGUGCUGAGAUUGUUGUUAGCAGGCUCUCAGAAUUUGGCGUUGCUACAUAAUCUGAUCUUUGCGCGUAACUCCUGUCGCAGGAUUUAGUUAUUAGUAAUUAUGAUAUGCCUGUAAACAUUGCAUCAUAAACACUAAAAAGUCAUUUGCAUGUGUCUCUGGUUUUAUUGUUCUUGUUCCUCCAAAUGAUCAUUACCUUCGAUUGCAAAUUUAGCACUUCUAGACUACUACUAUAAUAAUCACAUAUAAGACUAACUAAAUGUGCAAGUUAUUGUUUCUACAGGCAUUUGGGUGGGCAUAUAUAAA
rnacentral:misc_RNA from 1 species